UGAUCGAUAUCACGGAGGACAGGCAGAAAAAUCUCAAGUUCCCGUCGUGACUCUCUCUGUAAAUGAUAGGAAAGAGUGUGGCACGUGGAGAGCGAACAGGACGCAUGCGUGCGGUGUUGCUCCUGCAGGACUCCGUACUAUGAGUCAGUCUGCAUCUGGACUCCGGUUCGCGUAGAUUUUAUACUACUUGUACGUGGUUACGUGAUUAAGAAGACUUUAUCUCGGAUUUUUCAUUUUUGGACGAACGACAACUAUGACAAUAAUGACUUCCAUUUUUGGUGCUUGGAACGUAUUGCAGUUCAUCCUUUUUAUCUGUGCCAUUCUUCUUAUUCAUUCUUCGGAAGAUACAUGCUGCUUUGCCGUUGGAUACCAUAGUGUCAUCAUUUUUUUUUGUUUAGUUUUUUACUUUUUUCCUUCUUUUUCUUUCUCGCUUUUCUAUUUUUAUUUUUACAUCUAUUUUUAUUUUUAUCUUUAUCAUAUUUUUUUUUUUUGCUUUUUUUUCUUGUUUUUUUUUUUCUUUUUUUUUUUUCGUUCAAACGCAACACCGAAAAGUUUGGCGCUCGGCACAACUUUCCACUCGAUAUAACUUUGCAACUGGAUAAUUAUUUCUCGCUUUAGUCCCUUUUUAAUGUCGCCGCUUUGCUGCUUGUUAAUUUCCGCGGACAGUUCCGAUUUGCAAAUUCAUUUCAAUAUCAAUCUUUUUCCUUUAGGGACAAUUUCAAUUUGUACCUUAUUUCGUUCGUUACCCGUUGCGUUCGCCGAGCUCGAAGUAGAAGGAAGUUUAAUAUGACGCUAAGAAUAUGUUCGAGGAACUUCUAUGUUUAAAGUUUAGCUCCGUCUGACUACAUUCGCAUACUUACUACUGUGAUGCUUCUCUCUGUUUCUGUCUGUCUGUCUGUCUGUCUCUCUCUCUCUCUGUCUCUCUCUCUCUCUCUCUCUCUGUCUCUCUCUCUCUCUCUCUCUCUGUCUCUCUCUCUCUCUCUCUCUGUAUUUCUCCUUCUGCUCUUACUCACUCAAUCAUAGUCGACUAAAAUGUCUAGAAACGUAGAAAUCAUUAUUAAUUCAUGGAUCGAAAAUGUACUCUUCUUUAAUUAACUACGAUAAAGGAAUCAAUGAACAUAACAAAAAUACAUUAUAAGAAUAUUUUGAAAAUAAUCAAUCAAUGAUCAAAUAACGGGGAAGAGAUUUUUCUACACCAUGUAUCUUUUAUUCAUUCUUCUGUGAAAGGGAUGAGAUUUGAAUGGUUGAUGAACAGUUGUUGAUCGUAUAUAUACAUAUGUAUAUAUUUCGUUUAAAAAAGGUGUAUAGUUUGGAUACAAUAUUAUCGUAUAUUCACGCGAGAUUCGGAGCUCCACUUUCCUCAGGCUGUUUAUAGUCCAGUAUAGAGAAUAACGUGAGUGAGAGAAAAGGAGAAAAGAGCUUGGAGUUUCGAUCGUUCAUCGAUUCUCUUAUAACAUGCAGGAAGAUAAUAUCGAUGAGAGAAACAGAGAAAGAUGAUAGAUAGAUAGAUAGAUAGAUAGAUAGAUAGAUAGAUAGAUAGAUAGAUAGAUAGAUAGAUGGAUGGAUGGAUAGAGAAAGGAAGAGAGAGAGAGAGAGAGAGAGAGAGAGAAAUAGCUUGAAAUCGUCCUCUCUACGUGUGUUUCUCCGUAUAUCCUCUUGGAAACGUGUCUUUCCUACGAGGAAGGCGGAUCCUACGAUUCGCGAUGGCGGAAGGCACGUGAACCUGGAUGGGCGCAUGCGAACAAACCCUAAAGCUCGUGACGAGAAAAGCAUCUCUCCCUCUCUUUCUCUCUCACACCGUCUUUCCCUCUGUACUCCUCCGUUAGUUCAGCCGUCGCACUUGCUUUCCUUCUCUCUUGUUCGUUCAUUCGUUCGUUCGCUUGCUCGCUCGCUUACUCGCUUACUCGCUUGCUCGUUCGUUCGUUCGCUCGUUCGUUCGUUCGUUCGUUCGCUCGUUCGUUCGUUCGUUCGCUCGUUCGUUCGUUCGUUCGUUCGUUCGUUCGUUCGUUCGUUCGUUCGUUCGUUCGUUCGUUCGUUCGCGUUUCACCCCUCUCACCGACACAGAGUGAGGCACAGUAACCCCGUCGUGUGCCAGUCCGCACCGAGAUUCCGGCGCGAAUCGUCCUUUCUACGUCGCGGCGUCACGCCAAGUUCUAGAUGGAUGUCGCUGAUCCGCACUAUUGUCUCAACGUUUUACCUCGUCGCGCAGCUAUCGCUGCUACUGAUUACUCCUGCGAUCGUCGAAGGUCAAGAGGAGAGAA